AAGACUCUCUUCAGUGUCGACCAAGAUGAACAGAUUAGGAAACACAGAUACAAGAGCUGCCUCGACGAAAACGGCUUCAACCAACUUGAUGACGUGGAUCCUGAGGUCCUCCUCACCCCUACAGGACCAGAGGCUCUGUCACUGUUCGGUUCCGAGGAGAAGCACAAGGCUGUGAAGCAGUGCGUCCUUCAGAAACUGCUGAGGCCUGACGGGACAGUCGACCCGCAGCCCUUCUUGGAAAGGCUGACUCUCGCCCUCACUGACACCCGUCCUGACAUCCUGGAGCGCCUGCUUUACACUGCAGACUCGUGCCCGAUCAAAAAC
rnacentral:lncRNA from 1 species